GAUGAACGCUGGCGGCGUGCCUAAUACAUGCAAGUCGAGCGAACAGACGAGGAGCUUGCUCCUCUGACGUUAGCGGCGGACGGGUGAGUAACACGUGGAUAACCUACCUAUAAGACUGGGAUAACUUCGGGAAACCGGAGCUAAUACCGGAUAAUAUAUUGAACCGCAUGGUUCAAUAGUGAAAGACGGUUUUGCUGUCACUUAUAGAUGGAUCCGCGCCGCAUUAGCUAGUUGGUAAGGUAACGGCUUACCAAGGCAACGAUGCGUAGCCGACCUGAGAGGGGGAUCGGCCACACUGGAACUGAGACACGGUCCAGACUCCUAAGGGAGGCAGCAGUAGGGAAUCUUCCGCAAUGGGCGAAAGCCUGACGGAGCAACGCCGCGUGAGUGAUGAAGGUCUUCGGAUCGUAAAACUCUGUUAUUAGGGAAGAACAAAUGUGUAAGUAACUAUGCACGUCUUGACGGUACCUAAUCAGAAAGCCACGGCUAACUACGUG
rnacentral:rRNA from 1 species